GCCGGUGUAGCUCAGAGGCCCCCGUGGCACGGGCGGCCUUGGGCAGUAGGUAGAUGGCGCGAGCCGACAGCAGCGGGCUGUUAACCCGUUGGUUCGCAAGUUCGAGUCUUGCCACCGGCG
rnacentral:tRNA from 1 species